rnacentral:pre_miRNA from 1 species
CUUGUACUGGUGGGGUCCCUUGGCCUGGACUGUGGGGAUUGAGCCAAAAUCUGACAUCUCACAAGGGGUCCUGGAUUGAAAGAGGGUGCAGGCCAGGCCGAGGGACCCCACCGAUGCACG